ensembl:lncRNA
GCCUGUUGUAGUAGGCGUCUUGCGGGGGCACGGGAUGUACGGGACAGGCCUCUCCCUAAACAUAGAGAGAUAGUGCUAUCGUGCUGACCUUGUUGCAGAGAAAACAGGAGAAGAAGAAGGAUGAUAAAAGAAUGUGGAAAUGGCCAAAUAAGGCACAAUGUUAUCUGGUGUGAACUAAUCAGAGUGGGACAUGACAGCACGGUUAUCUAGGUAAAAAUGUAUAUAAGCUGUGUUUAGUAGUGAAUAAACGCCAUUUGCCUCACUUACUCCUGGGGUCUGGGUGAGCAUCUGGCCCCGACCUGGUAAAGGGUCGGUUUCGCCCAGCAGUAAGCCCUACAUGUGGACAGAGGACGAACACCGGACGAGCGAACGGAGACUACAUGCAACAAGUGGUGACCCCGACGUGAUCUGUCUGCUGAGGGUGGCUGCCCGGCGUGCCCGUGACGCGGAGAAGAGCCUGUGAGGUGGCGGCAGGUCGCAUACGUAACAAUGGACCAAGUCAUUAAGACCGAAGCCAACUCCAGAACAACUGAGGGACAGACGAUGGGAUCAAGAACCACUCGUCAAGAGGAGCACUACACCUGCAACGCUGACACUUCCAAUGUUGCUGAUAUUUAUGGUGUCCAUGGCGAUUACAGAGUGUCACAAACAACUACAAUGGACACAAGAACAUAUGCAGAAAAUUAAAGAAGAGCGUGAUCCCUUUGGAAGCUGGCUGGACGGACUGUUUGGGGGAACGGGUUCAUGGUUAAAGCAAUUGCUUAAAGCUCUCGCAGUAGGAUUUGCAAUCUUUGUGUGUAUUCUAAUCUGUCUUCCAUGCUUUGUAGGAUGCUUGCCUUCAACGAAUGAUGGACAAGACUUUUGACUAUCACAUUGAGUAUCAUAGAUUGCGUGAAAAAUUAUAGAGGGGUUUAGGUUGUUGCGUUCGUGCUGUAACGGGGCAAGGCUUGGCCGAGCACGGAAAAGAAUUCCCUGUUGCUCUGAUGAUUGCUUAAGAACUGUAGUAGAAAAUAGUAGGAAUAGUGUGCUGAAAUAUAUUUAGGAUUAGGCGUUUUGCGCUGCUUCGCGAUGUACGGGUUAGGUGUGUGUGUAAGUAGUAUUUAGCUUAGGGAGGGGGAGAUGUUGUAGUAGGCGUCUUGCGGGGGCACGGGAUGUACGGGACAGGCCUCUCCCUAAACAUAGAGAGAUAGUGCUAUCGUGCUGACCUUGUUGCAGAGAAAACAGGAGAAGAAGAAGGAUGAUAAAAGAAUGUGGAAAUGGCCAAAUAAGGCACAAUGUUAUCUGGUGUGAACUAAUCAGAGUGGGACAUGACAGCACGGUUAUCUAGGUAAAAAUGUAUAUAAGCUGUGUUUAGUAGUGAAUAAACGCCAUUUGCCUCACUUACUCCUGGGGUCUGGGUGAGCAUCUGGCCCCGACCUGGUAAAGGGUCGGUUUCGCCCAGCAGUAAGCCCUACAUGUGGACAGAGGACGAACACCGGACGAGCGAACGGAGACUACAUGCAACACAGCCCCAACGGGUAAAAUGUUCAGGCUUACUCUCCCAGAUGCCCUGAGUGAGUGCUGUAGAUCCUCCUAACAAAUACAUGCAUGAAACAUGGAAACAAGGAUGGGAAGACUGAUGGUUCUUCCUGCAGCAUGUUGGUUUCUAUGACUCCAAAAGGAGCUCAGACACUGAAGUGACAAAAAACUUGCUAAAAUCUGCUAAAAUAGAUCAGGGCAAUUAAAAGUAUGUCUCACUUUGGUCGGUGUGCUUAGGAUCCAUCAAGAAAAACAGAAAGCAGAGAUGGAUGCAUGUAUGCACAUUAAAUGGAAGUAUUAAGUAUUAGAUAAUAGCAGUGUAACUAAAAG